rnacentral:lncRNA from 1 species
UGAGAGGGGUGGCAGGCUCCGCCAGCACGGUGUCCCUGGGCGAGCAAGGCAGGGAGGCAUCACGACAGGUGGAGGUGGUGAUGCAGGCCUUUAAUCCUAGCCGUUGGGAGGCAGGAGCAGGAGAAUCUCUUGAGUCCAGGACUGCAGAAGAGACUGAGAAGCUGAACACCCCUGCCUCGAUCCUACUCAUGGGUAGGACCACGGAAGAGACCUCGGCCCCAGAGCAGUCAUGAGAAUCAGUCUGGAAAUAGGUCAUCUUCCACAUGGACUUACACUAUGGCAGAGACACUGUCCCCCGAAACAACCCCAGUCCUCAAAGUCUAUACAAGACACAAGCAGGCAGCUGCAAGAUAGAGGCAGAGGGACCCUGCAGACAGCCACAACUAUGCAAAGUAUAUCUCCAAUGGCAAAGAGGUCUCUACAGGAUGCUGUAAUACCCCAAUGUGAUGACCUUUCCUCUGUACUCUCAAACAGGCUACUGCAGUCACCUCUAUGGGAAUUGAGGAAAAGUCAUAUCUAUCACCAACACUUCAGAAGAAGAAGGCUGUCUCACCAUCCUCACUUCUGGCCAUAAAACAUCUCCCUUAAUUUUGUCCCAUGUUAAGGUUCCAUCACACCAAUGAGAAUAUCAAGUAACAUCACACAAUACAGAAAACAACAUGGAGUCAGAAGAAGCAAACACAACCCCAGCCCACCCCACCCCUACUCCAUCAAUCAGCUCUGGGGUUAGAGAGAGCUGCCACAGGAAGACAGCUGCAGAAGAUGAGCCGGAUGGAGCUCACCACAGCCUCUCCUUGCCCUUCCAGCCUUCGGGAUAAUAACAGACAGGUUUCUGAGGAGUGUAAGCUGACAAGAUUAAUGCAGAUUA